CUGGGUUUCAGCGGGGCCGCCCCUCAGACUGGGGUGUCAGGGCAUUUAUGUGGCUGACAGUUUCCUAGCUGACAUCAUUGCUAUGAGCCUGUGUUCUGCACAUCAAAGAGGUGUCAGGUCAAGGUUAACCAGGUCCUGAGGCAGCCUCGAGUUGCCUCCGGGGCCUCCAAUGUGGCCAGGAAGGCAGGCCUUUGAUCCAGUGGAUUGUUCUCGAAAACAACCAGGCCCAAGGCCGCUGGUCCCUUCAGGCUCAGGGGAACACCUCCUGAAUCUUAAACGAUGCUCCCUUGGAACCUGAAUGCAAAGAACUCAAGGGGGAAAUUUUUAGGCCGGGAGGAAGGCUCGGUCAGCUGCCUGCCCGGUCAGCCUGGCAGGACACCCAGAGUCCAAAGGGAGAGAAUUCAGACAAAUCAGGGCAAGGCUUACAAUGGGCCAGAUCAGCAGGGUCCCGGGAAAGAAUUCACUUCCUUCCAGCCGCUGGCACCAGUUGAGAAGGGCGCCACGUGAAUGGUCAGCUGUGGGGAGCUCAGGAGGCCACCCCCCACCGGCCCCGGCUCAGUGGACUUUUUCAUCUCGGUUCAAGAGCCCUGUCCCGGGCCCUUUCACACCCACCAGAUGAUGACUUACCAGCCCAGGCCAGGCUGCAGAGCGCGGCCACGAUCAGGGGCACACAGGCCCUCAUGGUGCCCGGUUGGAAGCCCCAAGUGGAUUGGCUCUGGGACUUUCACUAGAGUCAGGGCCAAGAGCAGAAGCACAGCAACAUGGGGCUGCCAAGUUUCCCCUCCUAGAAAGGUAAAAUCUGCUAAGUGAAAUGCCCUUUCCAGAAAGAGCACUGCGUGGACAUUCAGACUUCAGUAAAAGAGAACUCUCACAUAAAAAGGCAAAAUUGA